GCGAGACUUUGAGGCUGUGGAAGGCGCGGAGCCCGCGAGCUGCUGCGAGGAGCUGGGCCGGCAGCUCUGACCCAGUGACACGUUUCUACAUGCGUUUUACGGAGUGGAAAAGGCUUCCAAGCAAACCUAGUGGACGGCCAACCACACCUCACGAAUUGAGUCCUGAAGGUUCCGUGUAAAGAACGGUGUUCUCCCAAGGGCUAUGUUGUGAUGGUCACGUGGAGUGGAAAGCGACAAGUUGAAAGCACUUAUAAUGGGCUGCAAAAGAUAUAAACUAAGUAUGGAUACAUCAUGUGUUGAUGCCAUCCUUUCUCUCAUCCUUGUCCCUAUUC